rnacentral:lncRNA from 1 species
CUGAGAUCAUGACCCGAGCCGAAGGCAGCAGCUUAACCCACUGAGCCACCCAGGCGCCCGCCUGAAUCCUUUCUUGAACAGAGAUUGUGCCUGUCUUAGGUCGUCAGUAGCAGAAAACAUCCUUACCCGUCAUCAGACACAAGAUAUCGAUGAUCUCUGUCCUGUCUUAGGUUGGUAUGUUUCUCUACUGAUCUCACCCGUCUUUGACUACCGAUCUAGCAUGCUUAGCCAUAUCUGGGGAGAUGUCCCAGCCUCUAUUGACAUAGG